AUUGAACGCUGGCGGCAUGCUUUACACAUGCAAGUCGAACGGUAACAGGUUAAGCUGACGAGUGGCGAACGGGUGAGUAAUGCAUCGGAACGUGCCCGAUCGUGGGGGAUAACACUUCGAAAGAAGUGCUAAUACCGCAUACGAUCUGAGGAUGAAAGCGGGGGACCGUAAGGCCCCGCGCGAUCGGAGCGGCCGAUGUCAGAUUAGGUAGUUGGUGGGGUAAAGGCUCACCAAGCCGACGAUCUUUAGCUGGUCUGAGAGGACGACCAGCCACACUGGGACUGGGACACGGCCCAGACUCCUGCGGUAGGCAGCGGUGGGGAAGUUUGGAAAACGGGCGCAAGCCUGAUCCAGCAAUGCCGCGUGAGGGAAGAAGUCCUUCGGGUUGUAAACUGCUUUUGUACGGAGCGAAAAGGCUCCCUCUAAUACAGGGGGCUCAUGACGGUACCGUAAGAAUAAGCACCGGCUAACUACGUGCCAGCAGCCGCCGUAA
rnacentral:rRNA from 1 species